rnacentral:tRNA from 1 species
GCCGUGGUGGUUCAGUGGUAGAAUUCUCACCUUCCAUGCAGGAGACCCAGGUUUGAUUCCUGGCCAAUGCA